AGAGUUUGAUCAUGGCUCAGAACGAACGCUGGCGGCAUGCCUAACACAUGCAAGUCGAACGAAGCCUUCGGGCUUAGUGGCGCACGGGUGCGUAACACGUGGGAAUCUGCCCUUCGGUUCGGAAUAACAGUUAGAAAUGACUGCUAAUACCGGAUGAUGACGUAAGUCCAAAGAUUUAUCGCCGAAGGAUGAGCCCGCGUAGGAUUAGGUAGUUGGUAGGGUAAUGGCCUACCAAGCCGACGAUCCUUAGCUGGUCUGAGAGGAUGAUCAGCCACACUGGGACUGAGACACGGCCCAGACUCCUACGGGAGGCAGCAGUGGGGAAUAUUGGACAAUGGGCGAAAGCCUGAUCCAGCAAUGCCGCGUGAGUGAUGAAGGCCUUAGGGUUGUAAAGCUCUUUUACCAGGGAUGAUAAUGACAGUACCUGGAGAAUACGCUCCGGCUAACUCCGUG
rnacentral:rRNA from 1 species